rnacentral:rRNA from 1 species
CCUACGGGAGACAGCAGUAGGGAAUAUUGGUCAAUGGGGGAAACCCUGAAGCAGCAACGCCGCGUGGAGGAUGACGGUUUUCUGAUUGUAAACCCCUUUUGUUAGAGAAGAUAAUGACGGUAUCUAACGAAUAAUCACCGGCUCACUCCGUGCCAGCAGGCGCGGUACUACGGAGGGUGCAGGCGUUACUCGGAAUCACUGGGCGUAAAGGGCGCGUAGGCGGGAUAGCAAGUCAGAUGUGAAAUCUUAUGGCUUAACCAUAGAACUGCAGUUGAAACUGUUAUUCUAGAGUGUGGGAGAGGUAGGUGGAAUUCUUGGUGUAGGGGUAAAAUCCGUAGAGAUCAAGAGGAAUACUCAUUGCGAAGGCGACCUGCUAGAACAUAACUGACGCUGAUGCGCGAAAGCGUGGGGAGCAAACAGGAUUAGAUACCCUGGUAGUC